UAAACAAAACUGAGACCUGUGACCUUCAAGGAUGCUGAUGUGUAAUGCUGUAAGCUGACUGGAUUGGUGGAAAAAAGAAAAAGGAGACUCAGUCAUAGAAACAGCUGCUUCUUUCAUACAAGACUUGCCCGGGAGCAAAUCAAUGCAUUUAAUUUGAUUCUGGAACUAGCUGCACAGUUAAUAAUGCCUCAAGACUAAGGUUAUGCAAGCUAGUUAUAAGAGAAGAGGCCCAACCCUGGUGCUGUUCUGAGAAGCUGCAAAAAUAAGGUGUAGAAGUACCCCAAAGACUACGCUGCAUGUCGUCAUAGUCCUACAAGAUA
rnacentral:lncRNA from 1 species